ACCAGGAUGGCCGAGUGGUUAAGGCGUUGGACUUAAGAUCCAAUGGGCAAUAGCCCUCGUGGGUUCGAACCCCACUCCUGGUA
rfam:Larimichthys crocea isolate SSNF unplaced genomic scaffold scaffold23, whole genome shotgun sequence.